GUAUAUCCCAUUAUAUCCCAGUAUAUCCCUCCCAGUCUAUCCCAGUAUUAUCCCAGUCCCCUCCUAUUGUCUCCCAGUAUAUCCCAGUCCAUCCCAGUCCCUCCCAGUCCAUCCCAGUAUGUCCCAGUAUAUCCCAAUAUAUCCCAGUCCAUCCCAUUCCAUCCCAGUAUAUCCCAGUAUCUCCCAGUAUAUCCCAGUCCCCCCCAGUCCAUCCCAGUAUAUCCCAGUCCGUCCCAUUCCCCUCCCACUCCCCCCCCAGUAUAUCCCAGUAUAACCCAGUCCAUCCCAGUAUAUCCCAGUCCAUCCCAGUCCAUCCCACUAUAUCCCAGUCCAUCCCAUUCCCUCCCAGUAUCUCCCAAUAUAUCCCAGUCCGUCCCAUUCCCUCCCACUCCCCCCCAGUAUAUCCCAGUAUAUCCCAGUCCAUCCCAGUAUAUCCCAGUCCAUCCCAGUCCCUCCCAUUAUAUCCCAGUUUAUCCCAGUCCAUCCCAUUAUAUCCCAGUCUAUCCCAGUCCCUCCCAUUAUAUCCCAGUAUAUCCCAUUACAUCCCAUUAUAUCCCAGUCCCUCCCAGUCCAUCCCAGUAUAUCCCAUUAUAUCCCAGCCCAUCCCAGUAUAUCCCAGUAUAUCCCAGUCCAUCCCAGUCCCUCCCAUUCCCUCCCAUUAUAUCCCAGUUUAUCCCAGUCCAUCCCAUUAUAUCCCAGUCUAUCCCAGUAUAUCCCAGUCCCUCCCAUUCCCUCCCAGUAUAUCCCAUUCCCUACCAGUCCCUCCCAGUAUCUCCCAUUAUAUCCCAGUCCAUCCCAGUCCCUCCCAUUAUAUCCCAGUAUAUCCCAGUCCAUCCCAUUAUAUCCCAGUCUAUCCCAGUAUAUCCCAGUCCAUCCCAGUCCCUCCCAGUCCCUCCCAUUAUAUCCCAGUAUAUCCCAGUCCAUCCCAGUCCCCCCCACUCCCUCCCAGUAUAUCCCAGUAUAUCCCAUUAUAUCCCAGUAUAACCCAUUAUAUCCCAUUAUAUCCCAGUAUAUCCCAGUUUAUCCCAGUCCAUCCCAUUAUAUCCCAGUAUAUCCCAGUGCCCAACCUGCAGUGGGUAGGUCCUAUCAGGGUCGUACGCGCUCAGAUCCCCACAGGCCACAAAUGGGACGAUGAGUCGCGACGGUCCCGACAGCUCCGACAGGGACAGAACUGAUGGGGGGGGGCUGUUAUAACACCCCCCAGCCCCAAAACC
rnacentral:lncRNA from 1 species